UACGGAGGGUGCAAACGUUGCUCGGAAUUAUUGGGCGUAAAGCGUGCGUAGGCGGCUACUUAAGUCGGAUGUGAAAUCCCCUGGCUCAACUGGGGAAGUGCACCCGAAACUGAGUGGCUUGAGUGCGAAAGAGGGUCGCGGAAUUCCCGGUGUAGAGGUGAAAUUCGUAGAUAUCGGGAGGAACACCGGUGGCGAAGGCGGCAACCUGGGUCGACACUGACGCUGAGGCGCGAAGGCCAGGGGAGCAAACGGG
rnacentral:rRNA from 1 species